rnacentral:rRNA from 1 species
AUUGAACGCUGGCGGCAGGCCUAACACAUGCAAGUCGAACGAGUGGCGGACGGGUUAGUAAUGUCUGGGAAACUGCCUGAUGGAGGGGGAUCACUCCUGGAAACGGUAGCUAAUACCGCAUACCCUCGGAUGUGCCCAGAUGGGAUUAUCUAGUAGGUGGGGUAAAGGCUCACCUAGGCGACGAUCCCUAGCUGGUCUGAGAGGAUGACCAGCCACAUUGGGACUGAGACACGGUCCAGACUCCUACGGGAGGCAGCAGUGGGGAAUAUUGAACAAUGGGCGCAAGGCUGAUGCAGCCAUGCCGCGUGUAUGAAGAAGGCCUGCGGGUUGUAAAGUACUUUCAGCGGGGAGGCGUUACCCGCAGAAGAAGCACCGGCUAACUCCGUGCCAGCCGCCGCGGUAAUUC